rnacentral:rRNA from 1 species
GUCCACGCCCUAAACGAUGGAUACUACGUAGGGAGCCCUCAAGUGGCCCCCUGCCGGAGCGAAAGCGUUAAGUAUCCCGCCUGGGGAGUAUGGUCGCAAGGCUGAAACUCAAAGGAAUUGACGGGGGCUCACACAAGCGGUGGAGCAUGUUGCUUAAUUCGAUGCAACGCGAAGAACCUUACCCAGGCUCGAAGCGCACGGAUUAGCUCCGUGAAAGCGGAGUGACACCCUCACGGGUGGAACGUGUGGAGGUGUUGCAUGGCUGUCGU